UGGAGCAUGUGUUUAAUUCGAAGCAACGCGAAGAACCUUUACCAGGUCUUGACAUCCCGAUGCUAUUUCUAGAGAUAGAAAGUUACUUCGGUACAUCGGUGACAGGUGGUGCAUGGUUGUCGUCAGCUCGUGUCGUGAGAUGUUGGGUUAAGUCCCGCAACGAGCGCAACCCCUAUUGUUAGUUGCCAUCAUUCAGUUGGGCACUCUAGCGAGACUGCCGGUAAUAAACCGGAGGAAGGUGGGGAUGACGUCAAAUCAUCAUGCCCCUUAUGACCUGGGCUACACACGUGCUACAAUGGUUGGUACAACGAGUUGCGAGUCGGUGACGGCGAGCUAAUCUCUUAAAGCCAAUCUCAGUUCGGAUUGUAGGCUGCAACUCGCCUACAUGAAGUCGGAAUCGCUAGUAAUCGCGGAUCAGCACGCCGCGGUCGAAUACGUUCCCGGGCCUU
rnacentral:rRNA from 1 species